rnacentral:lncRNA from 1 species
AGAGAAGCCUUAGGGGCCACUUCGUUCGGCAUCCCAGGGGGCAGGUGCGCGGUACAGGGAAGAAGAGGGUUUGACUGUUGUUCUCAACCCCCGGCACCAAACCUCCACCCUGGUGCGCGCCCCUCCAGGCUCCUGCUGGUCUCAGUCGCCGGUAGUUAGGUCUCCUGUCAGCCUGAGCUCCCGAGACACCCAGCCCCGGAAGGACACGUAGGGGAAACCAGCUACUCACUUCGGUCUUGUCCGCAAGGGAUCCCUUUCUGACGGGAAAGAAAGGCGGCGAGUCCGGUCCUGUUGAGUAAGCGGAAGAGAGAUCAAGGGGAAGAGAAGAAAAAUCCUGUGAGGUUUCAAGAUCUAAAGUUACCAUGAAGUCGACCUAACCUCGUCUGGAGGUCCUCCUGUGGCUGGCGAAGGUGAGUCGAGUCCCCGUCUUCAGUUUGUCAAAGUGGACAAAGCCUACGACAAUGGCCAGUACCAGCUACUAGGCAUUCCCAGUCUUUCCAGUUGGUGGUACUGGAGCUUCCCUACCCAGGAUUUCCGUGGAUUCCAAGGGUACAACUGAACAGCUUUUGUUGUUCCAACUGCUCUUAUUUGAAGAAAGGGCCGAUCUGUUGAGAAGUACAUAGGAAAACCACUUUGGUUAGUUUUACCUGUUCUAGAAAUUCACCUUGAUGGCGCCACACAGGAUGCCCUCUUUUCAUCACUCGGCAUGAUGUUUUUGAGCCAAAUUUCUCCCAUUUGGGUUAAUCGCAGGAUCAGCACGUCCACAGUGCAAUGGAAAAGCAACGCCCUGGGAAAACAACCUUCAUAACGUCCUCUCCGAUGCCAGCUGGCCAGGACUUAGUCAGUAUCUACUGAAACCUUGAAUAUCUUGGCUGUGUUAACUGUUUUGACCCAACAUGGAGCGAAAAUGUUGGUUGUACCUUGAGAUUCUGACAUCUGGUUGAAGUCCAGGUUCACUGGCCCAGGACAGGUCAUUCAGCUGUUUGAAAAAAAACAGAAGAGAGACCAGGCCAUCCACUGAGGUAAUCUCCAUGCAGCAUGAACCACUGGUUCCAAUGAACCCACCAUCACCAUACUUCUCAGGAAUCGCUGGUCACUAGACUGAGAGUUCUGUGAAAGCUGAGAUCAUAUCUUACUAAUCUCUGUGUUCAUGGUUCCCAGCUCAGGGUCUAGCACUGAGGGAGUUCUCAGGAGAGUGUUCAUCAAUUAUUGAAUAAAAGCGAUUGCAAACCUC